CCCAGGGAAAACCUGGUGCAUUUUNNNNNNNNNNNNNNNNNNNNGGGAAGGACUCCUCCAUGAAACAUCAGCUGUGGCUCUUCAGUCUCUGCAGGUGCACUGUGAGACUGUUGCAGGAAAUGAGAGAUGAGGAACUUCUAUCAACCACUGUUUGAAACAAGGGAAGCAGUAGAUCUGUGCUGUGCAAUCACUUUUACAGCCUUUAACUUCCCCACUGCAAGAACAGCUUCAUCUGUAAAUGAUGGCUGCUUUACAGCCUGAAGACACUUCUAGAGCCCUCCUGAGUCACCAACUCCCGUGUUCCUGCCAGACAGAGCUGUUGUAUCACAUCCAGAAACAGGCAGGGGAAAGUCCUAGCUGUGCAGAAAUCCUGGUGACACAAAUACAGCCAGUCAUCUGAGCAGAGGCUGUACCCUGUGCUCUGGAGAAGAAUAGGAGCUGAUGGAUUAUUGCUGGGGUCUGUGAGAGGUAAGAGAAUAUCAGCAGGUCAAAUUGCACCAUUUAAAGCCU
rnacentral:lncRNA from 14 species